rnacentral:rRNA from 1 species
GAUGAACGCUGGCGGCGUGCCUAAUACAUGCAAGUCGAGCGAACAGACGAGGAGCUUGCUCCUCUGACGUUAGCGGCGGACGGGUGAGUAACACGUGGAUAACCUACCUAUAAGACUGGGAUAACUUCGGGAAACCGGAGCUAAUACCGGAUAAUAUAUUGAACCGCAUGGUUCAAUAGUGAAAGACGGUUUUGCUGGCACUUAUAGAUGGAUCCGCGCCGCAUUAGCUAGUUGGUAAGGUAACGGCUUACCAAGGCAACGAUGCGUAGCCGACCUGAGGGGGUGAUCGGCCACACUGGAACUGAGACACGGUCCAGACUCCUACGGGAGGCAGCAGUAGGGAAUCUUCCGCAAUGGGCGAAAGCCUGACGGAGCAACGCCGCGUGAGUGAUGAAGGUCUUCGGAUCGUAAAACUCUGUUAUUAGGGAAGAACAAAUGUGUAAGUAACUAUGCACGUCUUGACGGUACCUAAUCAGAAAGCCACGGCUAACUACGUG